rnacentral:misc_RNA from 1 species
GAUGAAGAACGCAGCGAAAUGCGAUAAGUAAUGUGAAUUGCAGAAUUCCGUGAAUCAUCGAAUCUUUGAACGCACAUUGCGCCCCCUGGUAUUCCGGGGGGCAUGCCUGUCCGAGCGUCAUUGCUGCCCUCAAGCACGGCUUGUGUGUUGGGCCCCGUCCUCCGAUCCCGGGGGACGGGCCCGAAAGGCAGCGGCGGCACCGCGUCCGGUCCUCGAGCGUAUGGGGCUUUGUCACCCGCUCUGUAGGCCCGGCCGGCGCUUGCCGAUCAACCCAAAUUUUUUUAUCCAGGUUGACCUCGGAUCAGGUAGGGAUACCCGCUGAACUUAAGCAUAUCAAUAAGCGGAGGA